GUGAUGUGCGACCUGUGCGUCCAUAGAAGAGUGGGUGGGGUGUGCGCCGGCGUCCCGGAAAACUACGUCCAUUGCCAUUCAUUGUCCAUUGUCCAUUUAUUUUCCAUUGUCCAUUUUGUUUGCUGUUGGGCUGAACUGAAAAUGAAAAUGAAGCCUAGAGGCGUUUGCAUAAAAAGUGUGAUUAGCUGGUGAUUGAUUGAUAAAAUAUGUUGUUUUUAAGUUGAUGUACCCAUGCAUCAGAAUAAACUUUACAACUGCAGACUCAGCAGACACAUUCUCGCGGAAAAGAUGAUUCUGUAAUCAAACUUUUGAAUGUAUAUUUGACCACACCCAACUGUCCACAAAAAUGAAUGUUAAAAGCAGAAGCCGUGCGCAAAUCACAGUGUCAGGAUUCUUGGUUAUUAAGGACUGCAGGCAUUAUGGAGUUUGGUUUUCUGCGUGUCAACAGCUUUUCUGCUGAAGAUGUAAUUUUAAGUUUGGUUUUUUUUAUUGAUUAGUACACAAUAUGCUGGUUUAUCGGACCGACACUGAACUGAAUGUAGAAUAUAAGACAGAAAGAACACUGAAUUUGUUUAGAAAAAGAGAGAACAGCAACUAGCAUCCAAAAUUUUGAUCUAUUGUACAAAUGUAUUUAUGUACUCCCGAAAGUGUUAAUAUAAAAUGUUGUUUUUUGCUUUUUUA
rnacentral:lncRNA from 1 species